rnacentral:rRNA from 1 species
UUUAUGGAGAGUUUGAUCCUGGCUCAGGACGAACGCUGGCGGCGUGCCUAAUACAUGCAAGUCGAGCGCAGGAAACUGACGGAACUCUUCGGAGGGAAGGCAGCGGAAUGAGCGGCGGACGGGUGAGUAACACGUAAGGAACCUGCCUCAAGGAUUGGGAUAACUCCGAGAAAUCGGAGCUAAUACCG